rnacentral:rRNA from 1 species
GGCGUGCCUAACACAUGCAAGUCGAACGGAGAACUCAAAAAGCUUGCUUUGAGAGUUCUUAGUGGCGGACGGGUGAGUAACGCGUGGGCAACCUCCCCCUUAAACCGGGACAACCCUUGGAAACGAGGGCUAAUACCGGAUACACUUUUCUGAGGACAUCCUCGGGAAAGGAAAGGCGGCCUCUGAAGAUGCUGCCGAUAAGGGAUGGACCCGCGUCUGAUUAGCUGGUUGGUGGGGUAAAGGCCUACCAAGGCGACGAUCAGUAGCCGGCCUGAGAGGGUGAACGGCCACACUGGGACUGAGACACGGCCCAGACUCCUACGGGAGGCAGCAGUGGGGAAUCUUCCGCAAUGGACGAAAGUCUGACGGAGCAACGCCGCGUGUAUGACGAAGGCCUUCGGGUUGUAAAGUACUGUCUUUAGGGACGAACGGUAUCUAUGUGAACAAUGUAGGUACAUGACGGUACCUAAGGAGGAAGCCCCGGCUAACUACGUGCCAGCAGCCGCGGUAAUACGUAGGGGGCGAGCGUCGUCCGGAAUCAUUGGGCGUAAAGGGCGCGUAGGCGGAUUUUUAAGUCUGGUGUGAAAACUUGGGGCUCAACCCCAAGCCUGCAUCGG